rnacentral:rRNA from 1 species
AUUGAACGCUGGCGGCAGGCCUAACACAUGCAAGUCGAGCGAGCGGCGGACGGGUGAGUAAUGUCUGGGAAACUGCCUGAUGGAGGGGGAUAACUACUGGAAACGGUAGCUAAUACCGCAUACCAUCAGAUGUGCCCAGAUGGGAUUAGCUGGGACGUGGGGUAACGGCUCACCUAGGCGACGAUCCCUGGCGGGACUGAGGGGAUGACCCGCCAACCUGGAAGUGAGACAGGGUCCAGAUUCCUACGGAGGGCAGCAUGGGGGAAUAGUGAACAAUGGGCGCAAGCCGGACGCAGACAUGCCGGGUGUGUGAAGAGGGCCUUCGGGUUGUAAAGCACUUUCAGCGGGGAGGCGUAACCCGCAGAAGAAGCACCGGCUAACUCCGUGCCAGCAGCCGCGGUAAUA